rnacentral:rRNA from 1 species
GACGUAGGGCGCGAGCGUUGUCCGGAUUUAUUGGGCGUAAAGAGCUCGUAGGCGGUGUUCUAAGUUUGGUGUGAAAUCUCCCGGCUCAACUGGGAGGGUGCGCCGAAAACUGGAAUGCUAGAGUAUGGGAGAGGUAAGCGGAAUUCCUGGUGUAGCGGUGAAAUGCGUAGAUAUCAGGAGGAACACCUGUGGUGUAGACAGCUUACUGGACCAUCACUGACGCUGAGACACGAAAGCGUGGGUAGCAAACAGG